UUUUCAAUUUUCUUAGAAAACUACCCUAAUUUUCCACAAGUGAACAUGCCCUAAACUCUCUACUUCAGAAUUCAGCCCAAGCAAACUUUAUCUAACAAAUAUAUCUAGUAUCACUUAUUACUUUGCAUAUCUACCUUAAGUUCACAACACUUACUUCACUCACUAGACCUGCCAAAAUGACAUAUUGUAUAUCUUGACUUUGCAAAUGAGUCUACGCCUGCAUUAAAGUUUACCAUACUUGAAAAACACAGAAUGCCUCACUGCCUGUAUGAGUAGUUCUUAUACUUGUCUAGUAAUAAAUACUACUAAUUAGAACUACUUCAAAAAAUCCCAUUGAACCUUUGAUGCUCUUUUAAGGUAUUGGACACAUGAUCACCCAGAAGAUGAGCAUGACCCAAUUCUAAGAAAAGAUCAAAAGGAACCUUAAGCACUUAACACCAAAAACCAUGGUAUUGCAUAAUAGAAACCAGAUAAAAGUUAUGAUGAUACCAAGAUAUUCAAAUUAUUCUAAAAACUUCAACAACCUGAGCAUGGCAUUGGAAGAACACCUUAAAAUGGACUUAGCAACCCAGUAACAUAAUUAUUAAAGGCAACCCUCAUGCUAAGGCUCACCAGGAGGUGCAAGACUCUAAAAAGGCAUGUGUUCUUUAUUUUGACCUUCGGCAAGCACUUCCAUUGGCAAAAAAUAGUACCACUCAACUCGAAAUUUACUGAUUUACCAGAAUUCGAUAUUGACACACUAGAAAGUUUUCGGAGUUAGUAUCGGUGGAGAUAACUAAUCGCCAAAAUUUCCUCAAACUAGCACAUCCAAUAUCGCAAACCUCCCAUAUUUCCAUUUUCAACACUACUACUUAUCUUUUAAAAAAAAUGUAAAAUCUACACCUAUUUUAAGAUUUAUGCCAAUUUAACUCGAGAACAAAAUAAUACUUUAGUUCUUAAAGAUGAAGAAGAUGGUGAAGAUAUUGAUUUUGAAGAUGAGUAUU
rnacentral:misc_RNA from 1 species